CCCAGCCCAUAAAUACAAUUUUUUAAAGUUGCUGAGACAGUCUCACUAUGUUGCCCAGGCUAGUCUCAAACUCCAGACUGAAGUGAUCACUCCUUCCGGACUGAGGUACUCCUCCCAAGUACCUGGGACUACAGCUGUGGAUCUGGUACAGAGAGUGCUGCCAGGGGAAG